rnacentral:lncRNA from 1 species
GAUUGGCAGGAGAGGAGGAGCAGAGCUGACCAACUCUGCUCAAGAUCACCUUUCUACAACAAUGUAAGCAGCUUCCCUUACGAGGUGUACCACGAGAUCAUACUGUACACGAGUGCUUUGGAGAAAAAAUUCCAUCAUUGUGCUACUGAACCUUGGUAUGUCUUGGUUCCGCUUCAGGGUUCAUUUUGUACAUUGAUUAAUAUCACUGCGAAGAACAAGACACUUUGAAGCUCUCUGUAUAUAUAUAUUCUUAGGCUAUGUAGUUGAUACCUUUCUUACUUGAUGGAUUUAUAUAGUUUCAUUCUCUCCAUAGGUAAAUUGUGUAAAUCAUAUAGUAUUUUUGUAGGUGACAAAUUUGUGGGUUCACAUGAGUCCGUGAUUUGUGAUCAGAUUCCUUUUCGUGCUAUGAGGGUAGUAGCUGUAAUAUUUUUGUAAAUAUUAUUCUUUUAUUUGAUAGUAGGUCCAAUAACUUGCUAAUACAAGCUUCAGGUCUGACAGAUUUAAAAAAAUAUGUUUCUCUAUCUGUAUUUUCAAUGUGAUCGGUUCCCCUAUUAUGUUAAAGUUUAUAAGAUAAUUUUUGUUACUCCAUUUACUUUGUAUGUUAGUUUCUUAUUGUAUGUCUGUUGUUCCGCCAACAGAGGAGCGCCGGGGAGAGAACCCAUUGGAUGCAGAAGCGUGAAGGAGUCCAUACAGUGCAGGCUGGUCAACUGUGAGGUUAGUAGCAUGCAAACUACUGGCUAGCUCUUGUGAUAAGUGAUACGUUUCAGUUAACUCCUUGUUCAUGCAAGCUAAUCUAACGGAUUACUUGCUAGCUACAUAUAUAUGACUUGUGUACACAUAGUCUGGAUGUUAUGUAUGGGAAAAUGAAAUAAAACAAUAUAUAAAUAUGUGAAUCUGUGCCUCUUAUUUAUUUUUUAUUGACGAGCAUGGCAGGAGCUCUAUCAAUUUUAUUAAAGAUAGGAAAAAGAAACAAAAUACUUAGUUCCUUGGUUUAUGUCUUUUUAUUUUAUUUUACCAUUUUCUCAGUGUGUUAUGAGUCGUCGUUGCCCAUACAGUUGUGGUUUCGUAAACCAAAAUAACGCUUUGCCUCUGUGUGGUGCCUCGACACAUCAUAUAUACAUGGAUAGUGAAAUCUCAGGUCUACCUUAUUCACGUAGUUAUUCGCAAAAAAAAAACAAUCUUAUCAGCAGGUGAGACUCGGCACAUGCUUGGUUGAGUAACCAUAGACUCACCAAUUUAGUCUAUGUAUUCUUACACUGGCCAUACAACAAAAAAAUGUGUGUUCAUUGACCCGUUUGUUCGAAAUAAAAAAUUGUACCUCGUACCUUAAAACUGACCGUCGAUUGCUUCUCAUUUUUAUUGUUUCCAAUAAUGUUAUUUUUGCAUCUUUAUGUUGGCCUGUGUGCCUGUAUGUUCCUUUGCUGCUCAUUUAUCAAUCACAUAUUUAUGUUUUCUCUAUACCAUUUCCAAACACUCAUGUUUACCAUACUGUUGUGAGAAUUUUUGGCGGAAUAAUUCUUGAUAUUAUCUUGGAAUUCCUAGAGCUAUUUAUCGGAGGAGGAUGUACUCGCAUAACACAAUGACUGUCACUAUGCUUUUCUACCGGAGAAAGAUGCACACAUUUGAGUAUUUCUGUUAGCCAUCUUGGUAAACAAAUGUUUGUUGUUUCCUUUGUUUAUUUCCAUUGGCAAAACAUUGCUUAUCAAUGAUUGGAACUAUGCUUCCAGCAGUAUCACUUGCCAUGAUGAGCUACACCAUUGAUUCUUAUUUUGUGUACUUGUCAAGGCUGCUAUCUCAUUUUGUCACUUCCCUUUUGUAGUCUUUUGUAUGCCUUGCUUUCGGUACUAUACUCUCCAGCUGCCUUUUGUAGUGUGCUACUUGGUUUUCGGUCCCUUUCUUUGUCAAUGACUUGCCCUAAUUAUUACCAAUGAUAUUUAGACUUGUGGGAUGUGUUGCUUUGUAUAUGAACAACUUGUUGUAAUCCCGAUCCUGUAUCAUUCCUUUUUACUCGUAUAGGUUUUGUUUUCUACAACCUCUGUUUGCAUUACAACUUCGAAGUAGAUAGGAUGUGGUAUGAUUACAAUUACGAUUUAGCACUGAUUGCGUGGGUAUGGCAAAGGCGACAACAAUUUUUAGUAUCACCCUUUUUUGAUUUUUAUGUCAUGUUGAUUACAUCCGGUCAUUGCAUUCACUGGGAGGAGACAUUGCGCUAUGCAUGACACCCAGUCUGGCCAGCCUUUGCAACUGUCAGCAACCUAUUUGUUCUUCUCCUUAGCCAGACCCGAUUCUUCGACUGGUUUAACUUGCAUAGUAGUUCUGUUUAGAUUACAGUUUUAGAUUCCUCCACUCUUUGCUAUGAUUAGGUUAAUUUCUAACAAAUGGGAUGAUGAUCUGGAUGAAUACUAUUUCGGUAUUGCUACCAUUAUGGUUCCACUCAUGAAUAAUUGAAAAUAACUGGAUGAUCCAUCGCAAGCAAUCGUUCUAAUUCCUAUUUGGCAACCUUGAAUAGCCCGAUGUGUUUCGAUUUGGUAGGCUUGGUUCCCUCCCUAAUUGUGUGCAUCAUCAUGGUGUUUGCUUGUUGUUCUAAAGUUUCAACUGCAUGGCUACUAUUGGGUUGGCUUCUUAUAAGUUAUGGGAGAGAGUGAGAGUGUGGGCUUGGUCACGGAGAUCUCUUUUAUUUAUUUGCUGGUACCUGAUAGUUUUUCAUGUUCCCUUGUGAGAUCUUAGUGAAAAUAAUGAUUUUAUUUGCUGUGCGGGCGGGCGGGUGCAGAGAAGAAGAACCUCAACUCGGAGCUCUUGUUUCUUCUCAGUAUAUAUGUACAGAUUAUAAAUAUAAUAAAUAUAUGUGUCCUUUUUUCCUCUUUCUCUCCUCUGGUUUUACCGCCGAACUGGGUGGCCUUGAUGAAUGAUGUUGGCUUAUUUUAGAGAAAAUCUUUCUAAAUAAAUACUUGAUAAAUGAUGUUGGUUUAUUUUAGAGAGAAUCUUUCUAAGUGAAUAUACACUGAAAAGAGGUUUCAAUUUCUUAAUAGUACAUGUUCAAAUUGUUGUUGUAUGUGACCUUAGAUAGAAGGAUGUGCACUUGUGAUUAUCCCUUUCCCUUUUUGUAUCAGAGCUUUGUGCUAAAAAACUGCUUUGGUGCCGAGACAAUUACCUUGCAAUAUUAAUCUUGGCUGAAAUUGUGCACCUUUACUAGAUCAAUCAUGUUUGUCAGUGUUAAAUAAUUAGGCACAUAAUAAGAUGAGAUCAUAGUGUAAUCAAGUUUUGUGCCUAAAGAAAAUCUUGGAGGAUAUCUAUGUAUAGUAGGCUUAUUAUGUUUUCUGGGUGCCUUGUGGAAUACUAAGAUAAAAUAAAUUUAAUUUCAUUUUUAUAUUCUUUUAUGUUAAAGAGGCUACUUUGUAUCCAGAUCACUUAAUAUUAUCCAAAGUGAUUCUCUUUCAUACAGACCAAAUUAGUUCCUCGCUGUCCAUGAGACGCACUAUUUGAAUAGUUUGCCUAACAUGACAUGUCCUUUAGCAGAUCCAUGCGUUGAAACAUGCAAGCAAAUCAAAUGAAGGAGUGUGGACAAAGUUAUAUAUCAAGCAAAUCGGAUGAAGGCGUGUGGACAAAGUUAUAUAUCUAACAGUCAACCAUGUAGUUUACUAUUAUGCAGUAUGAAAAACAGUGUAAACAAGUUAUCUGAGACUAAUACUGCUAUGGCCUGCUUUUGGUUUCUAUCAUACCAAAACCUUGCUUAGGUAUUUCAUGUCACAUUUUAUAACAAAUGCGCUGAUGGCAUGUAGAUAGGGCCAUUUUUAGAUAUUUUACAUGGUGAUUACUGUUGUGAGUAUCUACCAACACCUACUCUUUGAGUAAUAUCAGAUAUAUUUCUAUCCUGAGAUAUAGAGUAAUAUCAGAUGUUAAUCGGAAAAGAGUUAUAUCAGAGGUUUGAUCAUUGAACUUUUUUUAUUCCAUCCUGAUUAAGUUGUC